UGAGACAGGUGGUAACACCCAGCCCAGGGAUCCCCAGGGUGCAGGUCUAGGAGCCCUGCCCGGCCCCAGGGCUCUGGGGGCCGCCAGCCCUGCACCCGGGGGAGAUGGGGAAUUCGCUGCCCAAGGGAGUCCAUCGCCCCAGCUGCUCUUUCCUUCCCCAGCAGGACAAACCCCUCACCGGGCACCGCCGGCAGCAGCUGGAGCUGACGGCGCUCAGGGCCCAGCUGGCCCAACAGGAGCGGGACACGGCGGUCCUCCUGUCCCGUGCUCGGCAAAGGGAGGAGCUGCUCCUGGUGAGUUUGCAGGGGGCAGAGGGCGGCAGGGCCGUGG